rnacentral:lncRNA from 1 species
GGCCGGUCAAUAAUAAUGUAGGCAACAACACAAGUUAGAAGUCUUGAUUAGUGAACCAAGUUCCAACAACUUGCCAUGCCAAAAAGAAGAAGAGAAUUGAUCUUGUAUUGGUUUAAGUCUUUUGCAUGAUUUAGGAAACAACCUAUCCUUAAUGCAAAGUCAUUCACUUGAUCAAUUGAUCAAGAUGAAUUAGAUUUGAAUCAAGGAAGAUUAAGUCUCCCUAAUCAAUGCUAACUUAUCAACCUUUAACUCAUUGAUCAAAAAAAGAAAAA